AUGGAUUUCAGGGGUGGUAGUUUUAAAAAAAAGACUAAGGAAAACAAAAUAACUCAGAAUGAACAACAGAUGCAGUAACAAAGCAGCAGAGGGGGAAAUGGCUCUUAUAAAGGAAAGGCAUUGGGUUGGCUGUCUUAACAGGAAAAUCUUCUUUUCUAAGAAAUUUAGAGGAAAGGAAAAGAGGGGGAUGGAGAACAUCUAAGAGCCAGAAAGACAAUUAAGCACAGGAGAGAAGUAAAUACUUGGGAGGGAGCUGGUGAGAAGAGAACCUGGGAAUUCAAAAGGUGUCAAAAAGGAAAAGAAAGGAUGAACUUCAAAGGAAACCAUGAAGGACUAAUUAAAACCAUGAAAAGAUGGUGAAUUAAGAACACUGAGGCAUACCAAGGGAAAAUUAUUUGUCCAAAGUCACAAAGAAAAAUCGAAGACAAAGUAAUGUUGGCAUGAAGAAGACCCCACAAAAUUGCGACUGAGAAAGAAGAAAGAGGCCAAUAGAAGCUGACUGUGCCAUAUUCAGUUGCUACAGCAACUAAAAGUUAAACAAUGAUGUGUAGAGGAGAGGGCCAUUUUCUUUGCUGCAUCAGGUUGUCAUGGAAACCAGAAUU